rnacentral:rRNA from 1 species
UACGGGGGGGGCAAGCGUUGUUCGGAAUUACUGGGCGUAAAGGGUGCGUAGGUGGUCAAUUAAGUCAGUGCUGAAAUAUCCCGGCUUAACUGGGAGGGUGGCAUUGAUACUGAUUGACUUGAGUGGAGUUGAGGUAGGCGGAAUUGACGGUGUAGCGGUGAAAUGCCUAGAUAUCGUCAAGAACACCGAUAGCGAAGGCAGCUUACCAAGCUCUAACUGACACUGAUGCACGAAAGUGUGGGGAUCAAACAGG